GUAAACGUCAGUUUAAAAUGGAAAGGAGACUGGAGUCACCGCCUGUGGGUGACUCCAGUCUCCUUUCCAUUUUAAACUGACGUUUAC
rnacentral:pre_miRNA from 1 species